AUGGGGAGUACCCUGGCAAGGGCGAAUUGUUCCUCCUCCUGUGUAUCACCUUCCUUCUCCGAUCCACCAUAUUCAAGUAAUUGGUGCUUCGAGUCUGAGCAGAUCGAUCUCCGCCGCCGACCAGACCUUCGCACGCCCGAUCUCACGCCCCAUAGCAGGAGGCGGCUAUCUGCUGUGGGAUCGGGCGAGGGUUUUGGUGCCGCCAUCUCCGCACUUCCAGAAAGAGAUCGGGAGAGGCUGAGCCCAGAGCUAGAUGAAGGAGAAGAGAAUGUCCAUGGAUCAUUAAGGGGCGGCGGCGACACAAGGCUGAUGAAGGUGUUUGUAGGUGGCCUGGCGUGGGAGACGAGCAAGGAGGGCGUGCGCGUCCACUUCGAGCGCUUCAGCGAGAUCCUCGAGGCCGUCGUCAUCGCCGACAAGGGCACCGGCAGAUCCAAGGGCAGCUGA
rnacentral:rRNA from 1 species